UGUAUGCACGUAUGACUAAGUCGCUUUGGAUAAAAGCGUCUGCUAAAUUGUAAAUG
rfam:Salmo salar isolate Sally breed double haploid chromosome ssa06, whole genome shotgun sequence.